rnacentral:miRNA from 1 species
UAAGGACCUUAUCCGUAGAGACU